AAUUCGUGAUGUAUGGAGGCCGGCCCGGGCGUUUCAUCUAUUUUUUUUUUUCUCCCCAGUCCUACGAACAAGGAUACCUGUGGCGGCGGCGGCGGCGGCGGGCGGUAGCCAGGCGACGCAGCGGGGUACCCGAACCCAUGCGUGAUGCGUCCCAGGCUUCCGAUCGGCGUGGGCCUGUUUAUGGAGCCAGGUGAAAGGUGUUGUGUCUCCGGUGGAGGCAGUCAAUUAUCUCUGGUAGUGGUCGAUUGGAUUCCUCACUGGGGUGAUUUUAAUGGUGGUGUUAAACUACCGUUUCUGUAGGUCGAUAAUGGCAAUCAAAAUGCUCCACUCUCCGGCGGCCUAUUGUGCAGUUCAAUCACAAUCCCAAUGCUUACUUCCCAUCUAUUUCACGCGCCUACACAUGCACUCUUCCAUUAAACUGUCCUCUCCAUGCUCCAUGCUCCAUGCUUGUCGAUUAGGUCGUCGAUCCAUCUUCUACCUCUGUCGAUUGUCCCUCACUCCUACUUCCUCUCUCCCCCCAUUCUUUCUUGACCAGAUUCAGGAUUCUACUUUAUUCCUGCCUUUUGCCUUUCUUCCAAAUUAUUUGCUGUUUCGUCCUAUUACUGCUGGAUUUGGCCUGCCAGUUGAUAGUAUUUUUUAGUACUAAUUGUCGUAGGUACUGUCUGUGAAAGGAUUGGAGACUGAUUGUGCCCACUUGGUUUACAAAUGAGCAAUGGUUAACGGUCAGUUAAUCUCAUCUUACUUGAGUGACUAUUAUCUGUAGAAUUUCAUGCUACUGUCAGUGUGUAUAGUGGAUAUAUCAUAAUACAACUGACUGUUUUUCUUGCUAUAUGGAGCAAGUUAUUAGGCUGUAGAUAAAAAAUCCACACCUGCUUGAUGUGCGGCCAUGCCAUCGGAACCCUUCAUCCGCAAGCACUGUUUGCACUUUUGGUCCACACAAUAACUUGUGUUUGAUUGCUAACUAUGUAAUUAAUUAUGCCUAUUUUAGUUCUGUUCUAUUGGAAUCCAGAUGUGUAGACGCUACAUGAUUCCGAGCUAGGAGGCCACAACGAUACUUGGUGACAAAUUAUGACAAAAGGUUUGAGGAUGCUCUAAAGAGGUGUGCCAAGUUCAGAAUCUUUGCUCAAUUCAGCUUCAGAGAGGUGCAUCGUUAUCACUUUGUGGCUAUGGAGAAGAUUAGCCCAGUUCACUAUGUUUUUCUGUCUCAGUGGUAGUGGAAUUUUACAUCUGAGGGUGGACAAUUUCUACUUUUCAAUGGUCUAUUUAUGUGGUUAUGUGUUACAAAUAAUGGAAUAUCUGACCCAUAUUUGUUAGUUCUACUUUAAAUAUUUAGUAAUGGCAAUAUUCCAGAUCAACUAUUGUUUGAUUAUUCUUUUUGCAUAUGUGGUACCAUAGGGAAGCAUAGGUCUGCUCACCACAAUGUUCAAGAAACAAGAGCUUUGUUCUCAUCAGAGGAACAUACUGAAGGUAUAUUAUUACAAACACAGCAUAUUGUUAUUGUCAGUCCAACUGCUAAUUAACUAUGAUGAUCAGCUGGGUUCUGGCAGCUAACAAUAUUAUUUUAAGAUAUCGACGAGCCUGAGAAUGUCUAGAAGCAAAAUUAUGGAAAUGGUACUAGAGCUGUAUAGGUGGACACAAGUGAAGCGACGAUAGUCCUUCUUCUAUAUAUGGUCUCCUAAGUGAUAUGGUAAUCUUGUGUUAUUAAUGUAAACACCUUCCUUUCAUAGAGAUAACAAUGUCAGAAGCCAAGGUCUGACAGAAAAAUAAUAGGAACCAUGACCAAAAUAAAGACUAUUUCUCCCCUAAUAAAUAAAUUCGGUCUCCAGGUUCCAAAUGAGUGACGAGUCAGAAUAUUAUUCCUUUUAUGCAGGAAAAAUACGACACUGAUUAUUGGACGAUGUUCUGGGCUAUGAACUAAUGAUAGAUCUUGUGAGAAAAAAACUCUCAUAUUGUGCCUCAUCACUGCAUAUGCUCGGGUUUCUUUUAAAAAAAUUCACCAUAUAAUCAUGUUUAUCUUCUAUGUUAAAACCUGCUAAACUCUAAAUAUGUUGCGAUGGCAUUGUAAACUUCUACUGAGUUUUUGCUCUUGCUGACGGUUGAUGGUCUUAGUUUCACAAAAUUUUAGCUCAUGCGUUGAUGUGAGAGGUUGCGUAGAGGUUAUAUAUAUUAAUUAUUUUAUUGUGUUAAUAUAUAGCAUACUGACUAGAAAUGACCGAUUAAAUAUGACAUCUUUGCUCUCACUAAUAUAGGUUUAUGAUAGUCACUAAGAGAAGGUCUUACAUGGACUGAAAUAUAUAUAGUAUAUGCUGCACAGUCUCAAUUGCUUGUUAUACUGUCGUUUGGUGUAUUGGAAGUUAUUUUAGCAUAUGAAAGCAGAUUUAUGAAUGAAUCA